rnacentral:rRNA from 2 species
UACGUAGGGUGCGAGCGUUAAUCGGAAUUACUGGGCGUAAAGCGUGCGCAGGCGGAUUGUUAAGCAAGAUGUGAAAUCCCCGGGCUUAACCUGGGAAUGGCAUUUUGAACUGGCAGUCUAGAGUGUGUCAGAGGGGGGUGGAAUUCCACGUGUAGCAGUGAAAUGCGUAGAUAUGUGGAGGAACACCAAUGGCGAAGGCAGCCCCCUGGGAUAACACUGACGCUCAUGUACGAAAGCGUGGGUAGCAAACAGG